AAAAGCCUAGCCUGUAGGCUGAUAUCCAGAGAUAAUUGAAAAAUACCUGCGAGUUUAUUCCAAUUCACUUAAAUACAAUUAAGAAGUAUGUGGCAGUCCUGAUUUUAAGGGUUUGGAUAGCAGUAUUUAAAAAUCAGAGUUACCUCCCUUUGUCAGUUUUAUUGUGUUUUGUGUGCAUUCAUGUGCAUUGACCCUAGGUCACUAUUUUUCCCUCUCAAAAUGCUUAAAUUUCAUUGGAUUAGCCUCUGAUAAAAUAUCUGGUCAUUGUCUAGAUUGUCAUGUAUCUGAAAACAUGUAUUGAGCUUUUAUUUUAAGAAUAGUUGAAUUUAUAUUGGAUUAUUACAGACCUAAACAGAUCACAGUGUGUUUGUGUGUGUGUUUUGCUGGACUGAGUACUACUGUAACAUAUGGUGCAUUUAGGUCCACAACCUGGAUGUGUUUUUACCAUACAUUAUGGAGAUAGAUCUACCAAUAUUAAAAUAGUAAACUGUAUACAAUGGUAUGGCUCAUUGACCCACAAAGGAAUAAGAAGAAGAACCCAUCCCCAUAAACGAUAAACACUUAUUAGUUAUACUGCCAAUUAUUACGGCAACACAGUGCAAACUAACAGAGUGACAUAUAGCAGAAUCAUGUUUUAACAUAUCUCAACAAUACGAAUCAAUAUAUAAUUUCUUAGUGGUAAUAAUAUUCCCUUGGUACCCGAGGUAGUGAAUAUGACGAUUUAACUUACCUGUGCAGACU